rnacentral:rRNA from 1 species
GACCAACCUCGCCCCAUGCUCCAGAAUAGCUCUUGGAAACGGGUGGUAAUGCUGGAUGCUCCAACUUGACGCAUGUCUUGUUGGGAAGUGUUUAGUGGCAUGGGAUGGGGUCGCGUCCUAUCAGCUUGUAGGCGGGGUAAUGGCCCACCUAGGCUUCGACGGGUAGCCGGCCUGAGAGGGCGGACGGCCACAUUGGGACUGAGAUACGGCCCAGACUCCUACGGGAGGCAGCAGUC